rnacentral:lncRNA from 1 species
CCUCCAGCACAAAGUUCCAUCACAAGGUGCACUGACUGCCUAUCUUCAUAAGCACCCUUGAAUUCCACAAUAUUUGGCUGCCCACUCAAAUGCUGCAUAAUCUGAAUUUCCCUCUUCAUAUCCUCCCUAUCAUUCUUACUUACAAGCUUCCUCUUAAGUAUGGACUUGCAAGCAUAAGGGUUCCCAGUUGAAAUCUCGGUACAAUAGUAAGUCACUCCAAAUUGACCCCUACCCAAUUUUUUCCCAAGUGUAUAGAGUUUUCGAAUAUCCUCAAACGGCUUCCCCAAUAUGUUAUUCAAAUUGGGUCCAUGCAUUUGGUCUUGGGGCUGUCCAGGCUGCACAGUAACAGGAACAAGGUGGGCCUUUUGCUGGGGCUGAGGUUGUGGCUUUGGCGGUGGCCGACGCUGAUAUGGCCUUUCUUGCCGGGGUUGUGGCUGAUAUGGCCUUUCAGGCUGGGUAUACUUCUUGCUAAAACAACCACCCAUUUCUACACUUUAUUCAACAAGAUUGAAAUUAGAGCACUUCAAUUCCUCAACAAAUUACAACAAAUCAAGAACUUGGGGUUUAAGUAAAAAAAUUGUAACUUUGACAAGAUUGAAUUUUGGGAAACUUCAAUUCCUCAACAAGUUAAAAUAAAUGAAGAACUUAAGGUUUAAAGAGCAAAAGGUUUCAACUUUAACAAGAUUGAAUUUUAGGUACUUCAAUUCCGCAAAAAGUUACAAUAAAUCAAGAACAUAAGGUUUAAAGAGCAAAAGGUUUCAACUUUACCAAGAUUGAGUUUUAGGUACUUCAGUUCCUCAAAAAGUUACAACAAACAAGAACAUAAAGUUUAAAGAGCAAAAGGUUCCAACUUUAACAAGAUUGACUUUUAGGUACUUCAAUUCCUCAAAAAGUUACAACAAAUCAAGAACAUAAGGCUUAAAGAGCAAAAGGUUUCAACUUUAACAAGAUUGAAUUUUAGGCACAAUAAGGUUUAAAGAGCAAAAGGUUCCAACUUUAACAAAAUUGAAUUUUAGGCACUUCAAUUCCUCAAAAAGUUACAACAAAUCAAGAACAUAAGGUUUAAAGAGCAAACGGCUCCAACUUUAACAAGAUUGAAUUCUAGGCACUUCAAUUCCUCAAAAAGUUACAACAAAUCAAGAACAUAAGGUUUAAAGAGCAAAAGGUUUCAACUUUNUCUCCGAGUAAUAUGAGCGGGCAAUAAUCCUGUCAAGCAACUGUCCUCCAGCACAAAGUUCCAUCACAAGGUGCACUGACUGCCUAUCUUCAUAAGCACCCUUGAAUUCCACAAUAUUUGGCUGCCCACUCAAAUGCUGCAUAAUCUGAAUUUCCCUCUUCAUAUCCUCCCUAUCAUUCUUACUUACAAGCUUCCUCUUAAGUAUGGACUUGCAAGCAUAAGGGUUCCCAGUUGAAAUCUCGGUACAAUAGUAAGUCACUCCAAAUUGACCCCUACCCAAUU